rnacentral:rRNA from 1 species
UACGUAGGGAGCAAGCGUUGUUCGGAUUUACUGGGCGUAAAGGGCGCGUAGGCGGCAAUUCAAGUCGGCUGUGAAAUCUCCGGGCUUAACUCGGAACGGUCAGCUGAUACUGCUUUGCUAGAGUGCGGAAGGGGCAAUCGGAAUUCUCGGUGUAGCGGUGAAAUGCGUAGAUAUCGAGAGGAACACCUGAGGUGAAGACGGGUUGCUGGGCCGACACUGACGCUGACAGCGCGAAAGCCAGGGGAGCAAACGGG